CAGUCGCCGCGGUAAAACGGAGGGUGCGAGCGUUAAUCGGAAUAACUGGGCGUAAAGGGCACGCAGGCGGUGACUUAAGUGAGGUGUGAAAGCCCCGGGCUUAACCUGGGAAUUGCAUUUCAUACUGAGUCGCUAGAGUACUUUAGGGAGGGGUAGAAUUCCACGUGUAGCGGUGAAAUGCGUAGAGAUGUGGAGGAAUACCGAAGGCGAAGGCAGCCCCUUGGGAAUGUACUGACGCUCAUGUGCGAAAGCGUGGGGAGCGAACAGGAUUAGAUACCCGAGUAGUCCCUGUCUCUUAUAA
rnacentral:rRNA from 1 species